CGCGUUGUAUUAGCUAGUUGGUGAGGUAAAGGCUCCCCAAGGCGAUGAUACAUAGCCGACCUGAGAGGAGUGAUCGCCCACAUUGGGACUGAGACGCGGCCCAAUCUCCUACGGGAGGCAGCAGUAGGGAAUCUUCGGCAAUGGACGAAAGUCUGACCGAGCAACGCCGCGUGAGUGAAGAAGGUUUUCGGAUCGUAAAACCCUGUUGGUAGAGAAGAACGUUGGUGAGAGUGGAAAGCUCAUCAAGUGACGGUAACUACCCAGAAAGGGACGGCUAACUACGUGCCAGCAGCCGCGGUAAUACGUAGGUCCCGAGCGUUGUCCGGAUUUAUUGGGCGUAAAGCGAGCGCAGGUGGUUUAUUAAGUCUGGUGUAAAAGGCAGUGGCUCAACCAUUGUAUGCAUUGGAAACUGGUAGACUUGAGUGCAGGAGAGGAGAGUGGAAUUCCAUGUGUAGCGGUGAAAUGCGUAGAUAUAUGGAGGAACACCGGUGGCGAAAGCGGCUCUCUGGCCUGUAACUGACACUGAGGCUCGAAAGCGUGGGGAGCAAACAGG
rnacentral:rRNA from 1 species